rnacentral:lncRNA from 1 species
UUUAAGCCUAUAUUAUAAGUUUUUGAAGGUUUCUAACUAUUCUGCAUUUUUUUUGUUGUUGUGGAAAAGACCGAGAUAGCCGUAGCAGUCGAGGGAGGCACUACGAUCGUGAUGAUUCUGGACACCGUAGGUCACCACCAAGACGCGACUUAUCACCUCGUGAUCAUGGAAGGAGGUCACCUCGUGAUCAUGGAAGAAGCUCUAGAAGAGAUCGGUCUUACUCUAUUCUCAUGCUGAUGCAAUAAGUAUUGAAUAUAUUGGCAACAGUCACUAAGUGAAACAUAGUUUGAUCAUGUUCCAAAUGAUCUGAUCCAACUAACCAUAAAGCAACUAUUGCCUCAACUCUUAACUAGUCAAAAGAGGCACUAACAACUAUUAGUUGACUGUUCUUCAGUUCAGCCUAGGAUUCAUUCAGUGGCUUUUCGUAACUUGUAGUUUGUGUCCAUUACAUGAGUUUGAUGUACUUUGUGUUAUCUUCAAGUCCCAUAGAAAGCGCCCUAGAACUCCCACCCCAGGACAAUAUAUUGGCUUGAAACGCUCCAAAGACAAUGGUAAGUGAACACUUUUGAAGCCUCUAUAAAAAGUUAUCGAGUCCCUUUGACAACUGAAAAGGUUUCUAACUGUUCUACACUCUUUUCUGUUGUAGAAAAAGACGGAGAUGGCCAUAGCAGUCGAGGGAAGCACGCUCAGGUCCCUGAUCAUAUCCACGUUGAGAUCCAGAUCCAGGUCCAUGCCGAGGAAUAGGUCUAGGUCAAGACCUUUGCCAAGGCCUGUUUCUCCAUCAACAAGGCGUGGAAGGUUAGCUCUAGCUUUCUUUCCCCGUCUGAGACUGCAUUGUUUUGUAGUCUGCACUCUGCAGUGUUUGGUUUCUGUGUUCAUUUAAUGAUCCUUAGAUUGAUAGGUCUGAAAUUGAAAACCCUGGUAACACUCUCUACGUGACCGGCCUAUCCACAAAAGUCACUGACAAGGAUCUUGAAGCACAUUUCUCCAAGCAAGGAAAUGUGAUAAGCAUCUAAACUCUGAUCCUCCUUCCUGAUUAGUAUGUUUCGCUCUGCGUUUUUUUUUCAAGCAUAGAAUCAUUACUCAUGUUGUUAAGUGAUUUUCAUUACCACAGGUUGCGUCCUGCGUUCUAAUGCUGGACCCGCACACCCGUGAGUCUCGUGGUUAUGCCUUUGUUACAAUGGAUAGUCUUAGAGAUGCUGAGCGGUGCAUUAAGUAUCUCAACAAAACUUUACUAGAUGGCAGAUACAUAAAAGUCGAAAAGGUAACAAAAAAUUCAUGCUCUACUGAUUCUCAUGCUGAUGCAAUAAGUAUUGAAUAUAUUGGCAACAGUCACUAAGUGAAACAUAGUUUGAUCAUGUUCCAAAUGAUCUGAUCCAACUAACCAUAAAGCAACUAUUGCCUCAACUCUUAACUAGUCAAAAGAGGCACUAACAACUAUUAGUUGACUGUUCUUCAGUUCAGCCUAGGAUUCAUUCAGUGGCUUUUCGUAACUUGUAGUUUGUGUCCAUUACAUGAGUUUGAUGUACUUUGUGUUAUCUUCAAGUCCCAUAGAAAGCGCCCUAGAACUCCCACCCCAGGACAAUAUAUUGGCUUGAAACGCUCCAAAGACAAUGGUAAGUGAACACUUUUGAAGCCUCUAUAAAAAGUUAUCGAGUCCCUUUGACAACUGAAAAGGUUUCUAACUGUUCUACACUCUUUUCUGUUGUAGAAAAAGACGGAGAUGGCCAUAGCAGUCGAGGGAAGCACGACGAUCCUGAUGAUUCUGGACACCGUUGGUUACCAAGACGCCACAAUUCACCUCGUGAUGAAAGGAAGUCACCAAGACGCGACCAUUCACCUGAUGGUGGAAGAAGCCCAGAGAAAAGGUAUCAUCAACCCAGUGGCUUGAAAUGACCUGUGUUUAGGUGUCUUGACAAAGGAAUUCAAGAACUUAUUUUGUUGAUUUGAGGUUGUGAUUGAUCAUCAUCAUCAU